AAUGAACGCUGGCGGCGUGCUUAACACAUGCAAGUCGUGCGCGAAAGUGGCUUCGGUCACUGGAGAGCGGCGAACGGGUGAGUAACACGUGGACAACCUGCCUGGAAGUGGGGGAUAACCUGGGGAAACUUGGGCUAAUACCGCAUACGUUCGUGGAGUCUCGGCUCUGCGAAACAAAGAUGGCCUCUGCUUGCAAGCUAUCGCUACCAGAGGGGUCCGCGCCUGAUUAGCUAGUUGGUAGGGUAAUGGCCUACCAAGGCGACGAUCAGUAGCCGGCCUGAGAGGGUGAUCGGCCACACUGGAGCUGAGACACGGUCCAGACUCCU
rnacentral:rRNA from 1 species